AACUUUUAACAUUGGAUCUCUUGGCUCUCAUAUCGAUGAAGAACACAGUGAAAUGUGAUAAGUAAUGUGAAUUGCAGAAUUCAGUGAAUCAUUGAAUCUUUGAACGCACCUUGCACCUUUUGGUAUUCCAAAAGGUACACCUGUUUGAGUGUCAUG
rnacentral:rRNA from 1 species